rnacentral:rRNA from 1 species
AGAGUUUGAUCCUGGCUCAGGACGAACGCUGGCGGCACGCUUAACACAUGCAAGUCGAACGAGAGAAGAGGAGCUUGCUUUUCUGAUCUAGUGGCGGACGGGUGAGUAACACGUGAGCAAUCUGCCUUUCAGAGGGGGAUACCGAUUGGAAACGAUCGUUAAUACCGUAUAACAUAAUUGAACCGCAUGAUUUGAUUAUCAAAGAUUUAUCGCUGAAAGAUGAGCUCGCGUCUGAUUAGCUAGUUGGUAAGGUAACGGCUUACCAAGGCGACGAUCAGUAGCCGGACUGAGAGGUUGAUCGGCCACAUUGGGACUGAGACACGGCCCAGACUCCUACGGGAGGCAGCAGUGGGGAAUAUUGCACAAUGGAGGAAACUCUGAUGCAGCGAUGCCGCGUGAGGGAAGAAGGUUUUAGGAUUGUAAACCUCUGUCUUCAGGGACGAAAAAAGACGGUACCUGAGGAGGAAGCUCCGGCUAACUACGUGCCAGCAGCCGCGGUAAUACGUAGGGAGCGAGCGUUGUCCGGAAUUACUGGGUGUAAAGGGAGCGUAGGCGGGAUCGCAAGUCAGAUGUGAAAACUAUGGGCUUAACCCAUAAACUGCAUUUGAAACUGUGGUUCUUGAGUGAAGUAGAGGUAAGCGGAAUUCCUAGUGUAGCGGUGAAAUGCGUAGAUAUUAGGAGGAACAUCAGUGGCGAAGGCGGCUUACUGGGCUUUAACUGACGCUGAGGCUCGAAAGCGUGGGGAGCAAACAGGAUUAGAUACCCUGGUAGUCCACGCCGUAAACGAUGAUUACUAGGUGUGGGGGGACUGACCCCUUCCGUGCCGCAGCAAACGCAAUAAGUAAUCCACCUGGGGAGUACGACCGCAAGGUUGAAACUCAAAGGAAUUGAUGGGGGCCCGCACAAGCAGUGGAGUAUGUGGAUUAAUUCGAAGCAACGCGAAGAACCUUACCAGGUCUUGACAUCGUAUGCAUAGCUCAGAGAUGAGUGAAAUCUCUUCGGAGACAUAUAGACAGGUGGUGCAUGGUUGUCGUCAGCUCGUGUCGUGAGAUGUUGGGUUAAGUCCCGCAACGAGCGCAACCCUUACUGUUAGUUGCUACGCAAGAGCACUCUAGCAGGACUGCCGUUGACAAAACGGAGGAAGGUGGGGAUGACGUCAAAUCAUCAUGCCCCUUAUGACCUGGGCCUCACACGUACUACAAUGGCUGUCAACAGAGGGAAGCAAAGCCGCGAGGUGGAGCGAACCCCUAAAAGCAGUCUUAGUUCGGAUUGUAGGCUGCAACCCGCCUACAUGAAGUCGGAAUUGCUAGUAAUCGCAGAUCAGCAUGCUGCGGUGAAUACGUUCCCGGGCCUUGUACACACCGCCCGUCACGCCAUGGGAGUCGGUAACACCCGAAGCCUGUAGUCUAACCGCAAGGAGGACGCAGUCGAAGGUGGGAUUGAUGACUGGGGUGAAGUCGUAACAAGGUA